rnacentral:lncRNA from 1 species
UGGACUUCGCUUUUCAGCAUCUAGCCAAACACAGGAUCAGGUUCCCUGACCUCUACUGUGACUGCUUCCUAGCCAGUUUCAUGAUAAAAUAAUUCUUCAAAAUGGACUUGGAUUUAAUCCUCUGUAUCUCCCUCUUGCCUUCUGCAUUUUGGCAGGUUUGAAAACCACAGCCAGAUACAUGUAUACUGAGUGUAGAAGAAAGAAGCUAAAGGAAGAAAAAG